rnacentral:rRNA from 1 species
CGCAUCUGUGCAUGCAGCAUAUCAAUAAGCGGAGGAAAAGAAACUAACAAGGAUUCCCUUAGUAACGGCGAGUGAAGCGGGAAGAGCUCAAAUUUGAAAUCUUCAAGGUUUUACCUUGACGAAUUGUAGUUUAAAGAAGUGUUUUCUGUUGAAGUUUUGGUAAAAGUUCUUUGGAAUAGGACAUCAUAGAGGGUGAGAAUCCCGUAUUUGACCAUUAUUUUCAGCUGUGUGAUACACUUUCAAAGAGUCGGAUUGUUUGGGAAUGCAGUCCAAAAUGGGUGGUAAAUUUCAUCUAAAGCUAAAUAUUGGCGAGAGACCGAUAGCGAACAAGUACCGUGAGGGAAAGAUGAAAAGAACUUUGAAAAGAGAGUUAAACAGUACGUGAAAUUGUCAAAAGGGAAGCGUUUGACACCAGUGUUGUUUUCUCGAAAAUCAAUUAAAAAGAGUUUGAUUUUGUUGUGUAUUGACCUUAACAGCUUGCAUUUCAAUUUUCUUGCUUCUUUUAAUGCACUUUUCGUUUAACAAGUCAACAUCAGUUUCUUUUGUUGUAAAAAGGUCAUUGGAAGGUGGCUUUCUUUUCGGAGAAAGUGUUUAUAGCCUUUGACUCCUGCAAUCGGAGAGACUGAGGUCUGCAGCGUAGAUCCUUCGGGGUUAGAUACAUUUGUGCUAAGUUAUAGCUUUUUAUAGACAACUUGUUGACUAUGAUUAGUCUUGUAGCUUACUCGCUUAUGCUAUUUUACCUACGCUUAGGAUGUUGAUCACACGCGCGUGCUCG